UUAAAGGUUGGGUGCAAAAAAUGUUUUGGAAUAAUGGAACAAUAAAUUGUAAAAUAGAAAUUAAGAACAAAAUGAAAUAAAAAAAAUGCAAAAAUGAUUUUAAAAAUUAAGAUAAAAAAGUAUGUGAUGCAAACAUUUUUUAAAGACUUUGUGUAAAAAUGAUUGGGUGAAAAUGAAUUAAAAUGAGUGAGAAUUUAAAUUGGGAAUGAAAAA
rnacentral:lncRNA from 1 species